CGCGGUAAUUCCAGCUCCAAUAGCGUAUACUAAAGUGUUGCAGUUAAAAAGCUCGUAGUUGGAUUUCUGGCGGGGACGGCUGGUCGGUCUCGAAAGGGGCUGUACUGUUGUUGGUUCCCGUCAUCCUUGGGGAGAGCGGCUCUUACAUUAAGUUGUCGGCGUCGGGAUCCCUAUCUUUUACUGUGAAAAAAUUAGAGUGUUCAAAGCAGGCUUAGGCCCUGAACACAUUAGCAUGGAAUAAUAAGAUACGACCUUGGUGGUCUAUUUUGUUGGUUUGCACGCCAAGGUAAUGAUUAAUAGGGAUAGUUGGGGGUAUUCGUAUUCAAUUGUCAGAGGUGAAAUUCUUGGAUUUAUGGAAGACGAACUACUGCGAAAGCAUUUACCAAGGAUGUUUUCAUUGAUCAAGAACGAAAGUUAGGGGAUCGAAGAUGAUUAGAUACCAUCGUAGUCUUAACCAUAAACUAUGCCGACUAGGGAUCGGUGGGUGCAUUUUUAGGCCUCAUCGGCACCUUAUGAGAAAUCAAAGUCUUUGGGUUCCGGGGGGAGUAUGGUCGCAAGGCUGAAACUUAAAGAAAUUGACGG
rnacentral:rRNA from 1 species